AACGCGUGAGCAACCUGCCUAUGACAGUGGGAUAGCCUCGGGAAACCGGGAUUAAUACCGCAUAAAAUCGUAGAAACACAUGUUUCAACGGUCAAAGAUUUAUCGGUCAUAGAUGGGCUCGCGUCUGAUUAGCUAGUUGGUGAGAUAACAGCCCACCAAGGCGACGAUCAGUAGCCGGUCUGAGAGGAUGAGCGGCCACAUUGGAACUGAGACACGGUCCAAACUCCUACGGGAGGCAGCAGGC
rnacentral:rRNA from 1 species